UACGUAGGGACCAAGCGUUGUUCGGAUUUACUGGGCGUAAAGGGCGCGUAGGUGGUUUGUCGCGUUGUCCGUGAAAACUCACAACUCAAUUGUGGGCGUGCGGGCGAUACGGGCAGACUGGAGUACUGCAGGGGAGACUGGAAUUCCUGGUGUAGCGGUGGAAUGCGCAGAUAUCAGGAGGAACACCGGUGGCGAAGGCGGGUCUCUGGGCAGUAACUGACGCUGAGGAGCGAAAGCGUGGGGAGCGAACAGG
rnacentral:rRNA from 1 species